UACGUAGGCGGCGCGGCAAGUUGGGUGUGAAAUCCCUCGGCUCAACCGAGGAAUGGCGCCCAAAACUGCCGUGCUAGAGGGAGACAGAGGUGAGUGGAACUUAGGGUGGAGCGGUGAAAUGCGUUGAUAUCCUAAGGAACACCAGUGGCGAAAGCGACUCACUGGGUCUCUUCUGACGCUGAGGUACGAAAGCUAGGGGAGCGAACG
rnacentral:rRNA from 1 species